CACAGGUAGACCUGUUUAACUCCACUCGCUGUCUUCACACUCGUCAGAUAUUUCAAAGAGCGACGACAGAAGAGUGAGAUCUACAGUCAGUAUUGUAGAUCAAAAGAUAAUCUCCGGUCUAAUAAAACAGAAUCAUCAUUAUCACAGAGGUCACCACCAUCAGACAGGCACAAUGGCAGCCAAACCAUCUCAUGACAUUAUAGGAGCGGUGGCAGGGAUUGCAAUUGGUGGUAGUCUGGCCUUUACAGUUCUGUUGGUUUUAGUUCUGAUUUUUAUUUUUGGACCCAAAUCACAAACUUUGAACAACUGUUUUUUUGUGGGAACAUUUAUUACAGGAGCAGCAGCAUUGGCUGCUGGGCCAAUAUUCCUAGUACUCUUCA